AACGAACGCUGGCGGCAGGCUUAACACAUGCAAGUCGAGCGCCCCGCAAGGGGAACGGCAGACGGGAGAGUAACGCGUGGGAAUCUACCCAUCUCUACGGAAUAACGCAUGGAAACGUGUGCUAAUACCGUAUACGUCCUUCGGGAGAAAGAUUUAUCGGAGAUGGAUGAGCCCGCGUGGGAUUAGCUAGAUGGUGGGGUAAAGGCCUACCAAGGCGACGAUCCAUAGCUGGUCUGAGAGGAUGAUCAGCCACACUGGGGCUUAGACACGGCCCAGACUCCUACGGGAGGCAGCAGUGGGGAAUAUUGGACAAUGGGCGCAAGCCUGAUCCAGCCAUGCCGCGUGAGUGAUGAAGGCCCGAGGGUUGUAAAGCUCUUUCACCGGUGAAGAUAAUGACGGUAACCGGAGAAGAAGCCCCGGCUAACUUCGUGCCAGCAGCCGCGGUAACAC
rnacentral:rRNA from 1 species